rnacentral:rRNA from 1 species
AGUGAACGCUGGCGGUAGGCCUAACACAUGCAAGUCGAACGGCAGCACAGUAAGAGCUUGCUCUUACGGGUGGCGAGUGGCGGACGGGUGAGGAAUACAUCGGAAUCUACUUUUUCGUGGGGGAUAACGUAGGGAAACUUACGCUAAUACCGCAUACGACCUACGGGUGAAAGCAGGGGAUCUUCGGACCUUGCGCGAUUGAAUGAGCCGAUGUCGGAUUAGCUAGUUGGCGGGGUAAAGGCCCACCAAGGCGACGAUCCGUAGCUGGUCUGAGAGGAUGAUCAGCCACACUGGAACUGAGACACGGUCCAGACUACUACGGGAGGCAGCAGUGGGAAAUAUUGGACAAUGGGCGCGAGCCUGAUCCAGCCAUACCGCGUGGGUGAAGAAGGCCUUCGGGUUGUAAAGCCCUUUUGUUGGGAAAGAAAAGCAGCGGGUUAAUACCCCGCUGUUCUGACGGUACCCAAAGAAUAAGCAACGGCUAACUUCGUG